CCUACGGGUGGCAGCAGUGGGGGAUAUUGCACAAUGGAGGAAACUCUGAUGCAGCGACGCCGCGUGAGUGAAGACGGUCUUCGGAUUGUAAACCUCUGUCUGUGGGGAAGAAAAUGACGGUACCCAAAGAGGAAGCUCCGGAUAAUUACGUGCCAGCAGCCGCGGUAAUACGUAGGGAGCGAGCGUUGGCCGGAGUUACUGGGUGUAACGGGAGCGUAGGCGGGCGGGAACGUUGACUGUUAAAUCUACCGGCUUAACUGGGAGCUGCGGUUAAAACUUGUUGUCUGGAGAGAGGUAUAGGCAGGCGGAAGUCCUAGUGUAGCGGUGAAAUGCUUAGAUAUUAGGAGGAACUCCAGUGGCGAAGGCGGCCUGCUGGGCGUGAACUGACGCUGAGGCUCGAAAGCGUGGGGAGCAAACAGGAUUAGAUACCCCAGUAGUC
rnacentral:rRNA from 1 species